GAAACACACAGGCUCCCUACCCCCACGCCUCCCCAUAUAGGUGUCGCUGCUGUACGCAAAGUGAGACUCUUGUGAAUCACAGAGCUGGUGUGGUGACAACCCAGAAGCCACUAGGAAGCAAGUGGCUUGAUAUGGAAAUGGACCAACACCAUAUAUCCCUAAUCUGAGAGGCAGCCGGUGCUAAAAAGGCCAGCUAUGGUGCCCCAUCACUCAUUUCAGAAUUUGAACCAGGAAUACUGAAGUAUCUAAAGCAAAGAAUCAAGCAAUGGGAUCUUUUGAUGCUGGAUAUAAAAGAGAAUUCUACCAGUCAGCACUGCUCAACACACCUUGGGAGAUACAGAACACAAGAGCUUAGCUCCUCAUUGAUAAAACAAGUCUAGCACAACCAGAAACAACCUGUAGAGGAAAACUAUGUAAGAACUUGCUAUAAAGUAUCU